rnacentral:rRNA from 1 species
GAAGCGAAGCAGCGAUGUGAAGCAAAUCGCACCAAAGCCGGUCCCAGUUCGGAUAAGAGGCUGAAACUCGCCUCUUUGAAGUCGGAAUCGCUAGUAAUCGCAGAUCAGCAUGUUGCGGUGAAUACGUUUCCUGGUCUUGUACACACCGCCCGUCAAACCAUGAGAGUCGCCAACACCCGAAGUCCGCUUUGCGGCCUAAGGUGGGGGAGAUGAUUGGGGUUAAGUCGUAACAAGGUACC